rnacentral:rRNA from 1 species
UUGUUGCAGUUAAAAAGCUCGUAGUUGGAUUUCUGCGGGGGCGGGGCGGCCGGAUGCUUAUAGCAUCUCGAGCUAGCACUUCCCCCGCAUCCUGCCGCGAACCGUGCUACCGUUAGUUUGGUGGCGCUGGGGAUCGGCUCGUUUACUUUGAGAAAAAUAGAGUGUUCAAAGCAGGCCACACGCCUUGAAUAAGUUAGCAUGGAAUAAUGAUAAAGGACUUCGGUUCUAUUUUGUUGGUGUUCGGGACUGAAGUAAUGAUUGAUAGGGACAGUUGGGGCGGUCAGUAUUCCAAAGCGAGAGGUGAAAUUCUUAGACCUUCGGAAGACUAACAGCUGCGAAAGCGUUCCGCAAGGAUGUUCCCUUUGAUCAAGAACGAAAGUUGGGGGAUCGAAGACGAUCAGAUACCGUCGUAGUCUCAACUAUAAACUAUACCAGCUAGGGAUCGGCCGACGUUUACUUAUAUCGACUCGGUCGGCACCUUAUGAGAAAUCAAAGCAUCUGGGUUCCGGGGGGAGUAUGGUCGCAAGGCUGAAACUUAAGGAAU